rnacentral:rRNA from 1 species
AUGUUGGUGGCCACCCAGUCCAUCAACACCACCACCUCCGAGAUCAUCAGGCUCAGAGAAUCAGAGCUAUUCCCUCAGCUACUUGAGCUGGUUGCUGGGUCAUAUUACUUGCAUAUGCAUGGUUAA